AACAAAUUGUUUUUUGGAUUGCAUGUGCCAGAUGAUCCUAAGAAAACACAUGGAGUAAUUUUCAUGAAGGUGGUGAGAAUUGGCUUUCCACCAGUUUCAUACCGAUCCUGAUGGGAUCAUAUCUAGCAAAAUACUUUAUUUCAUCAACAUACAUUUUUAGUCAGUAACACAGAUUGGGAGUUCACCUUAUUCAACAAUAACAGCUCAUUUGAGAAAAGAUCCAGAGGUUUUCAUUAGCCACAUGCUUAGAAUGAAUCAGCAGUGUAAUGCAAAUGCCAAAAGAACAAGUAUAGUCUUAGAGUGUAAAAGGCUGUCACUUUACUUGUGUUCAUCACACUUAUCUGGACCUUGCACGUCUGGCUUCUGGGGAAGCCCUUGCACCCAUGUCUAUGGUCAGGACCAGUACCUUUGAUGCUUGGCCUGCGGAAAAGAAGCAAUUAAAAAGACCCGCUGUUUCUGGAUAUUAGGACGACUGUCAGGAGGAAGAGAAAAUAAGUCUAAGCACUAUCUCCAUGGGCAAAAUGACGACCAAAGAGCAGGCUCCAUGACUUCAGGUUUUACCUCAGUAAAAAGAAGGCCAUCUGUCAAUGAGGUUGCUUCGUGGUGGGAUGGUUUGCUGUAGGGCUUGCCCAGGACUCGGAAUGCAGGCAGAGGCUGGAUGUCACUUCUCAGAGGUGCUGUAGUGAGGUGUUUUCAGAGGAUGGAAGAUUGGACUAGAUAACUGUUACGGUCCAUUUUGAUCCAGUGCUGUUCCAAGAGUAGCUUUUCACAGGGAUAAGGUGUAGAAAAGGUUUUUGAUUUUUGCUUUGUUUUAUUUUGUUCUAAAUUUUGAAUAUUUGCUGUAGGAUGUCAUUCAGUCCUUUCUUUUACCAAUAUUCAUGAAAACUUAAUUAGAGAUGAAAGCAACCCUGGGACACUGCCCACAUUUGAACCUAAAUUGGUAUGGGUGGAAUUCACGUGAUCUCCAUAUUCAAUUAUGUCCUGAUACUUUAAUUGAUGAGUAAUAAUCAAACUACCUCAUGCAGUUGAUUUAAUUGACUGCCCAUUGUCCAACUAUAGAAACAAUGGGCAAGUGGCCUCCACUUGCAGUGACAUAUGUUAUUAGAUCUAAUCUGUGAGCUAGAUAAUUGCAAGAAGUGCCCUUUGGCAUCUGUGAGCCCAUACAGGUUGGGGUCACAGAUGUCAGGGUUGGGUGGCAUUCCCCAGCUAUCAGAGGAGCACUGUGCCUCAUCUAGCAGUGCACCACUAGCUGCUGCUGUUGACCACCCAUUCAGUUUUCCUUCAGCAUGGCACACCUAAUUCCUUACACUCUAGGGUCAUACACACCUGGAUUUCACUCUCAGUUCCUCCAUUUUUUUAGUUGUAACACCUGGGCAGUUAUAUUUAUUUGAAGCUCCUUUUAGUCAUUCACAAACAGAGAUAAUGAUAGGACCACAUCGCAGGGUUGUUAUGAGAGUCAGCAUAUAAAAUGCUUAGCACAGUGCCUGGUACUUAAGAAGUGCUCAAUAAAUGUUAGCCAAGCCAAUGCCAUUGCAGUGCUGUUGAAGGUCUGUUAGUAAGAUGACCACCUGCCUUUAUUGUUUGGGAAGUAAAUUUUUCCAUGAAAUAGGACACAGAACUAUAGUAGCUCUGUGAGUAGCUAUGAUUGAAACCUCAGUUUAGGGGGAAACACUUCACCCACAACUGUUGCUUACUCCUGUGCUAACCCAUCAGGCAAGAUAGUAAUAUAGACCUACUUCUUAAAAAGUUCACAAAUGAGUGAUAACCAAUACAAGCAAAUAAUGACACUAGGCACUUUUCAAGAAUUAUUGAGUAAUUUAACAGUCACCUGACUGCCACUCAGAAUCUGUCUGAUGUUCAGUUCAUGCAUCAGAUAUUUUAGAGAGUGCUUAGUAGACAUGUUACCUAUUAGAAAUCAUAGUGUCUGGACUAUAAUAUUUCAGUUCCAUGCCUAAAUGCCUGCAUGACUCAGAAUCUAAGUCAUGGAUCAUAGAUCCAUGUCUUAGUCCAGCCCUCUUCCCAUUAACAGUUUUGGAGGGUUGAUUUCACUGUUGUUCGUUCGAUUAUUAUUUCUGUGCCUUCAGGCAAAACCACCGAAGGACAAUAUUCAUGAUCCCAUUUAGAGAGAGAAAUGGAGAGAGUGUGUGUGUGUGCGUGUUGUGGAUGCACACAUGUGUAUACAUGCAAGGAUGGUCACCAGAAUAUGAAUGGUGAUUAUCUUACGUUAGAAUUUGGGGCAAUGUCUUCUUCAAUUUGUGCUUUUAUGUGUUGGUUUUUUUUUUUUNAUAUUUAGAUCACAGCAAUUUGGAUGAAUUACUUAAUCUUUUUAAUGGCAGUUUUUACUGUGGCAGAUGAUAGGAAAGAUAACAGUACUCUUACCCAAUGUCUCUUUCUCAAAAAUGUCGAUGAAAAAUUCCUAGUGAUUUUAUUCCAGAGAAAAGUUUAUUUUAACAAAUAAAUUUGUAAUUAUUCUUUAUUAAUGAAUUUUUCAACAUCGAUUUUAUUUGUGUUUUUACCUUUAUCUACCAAGAAACUUACAGCCAAAAUAAGAUUUUGUUUUUCACCUUAAUUGCCCUGGCUUAAUUUUCUGAGUAACCUCAUCCAUUUGUAAGAUGGUCAUAUAUCAACAGAUUGCAUCUUUUGGCGUUUUAAUGGCUGUCUAAAAAUUGAUAAUAAACUUCACCUCUAUGCAUAUACCUAUUAGAAUGGUUUACUUAUCUGGCAGUGUUACUAGUCAAUGUUCUUGUAUAUUACGAUUUCAGCAAGUCCUUGACACCCUGUCUACUCACCGUUGAAACCCUGUGGGCAAGAUGUAAGGGUAGCCUGUGGGACCCAGGUAGUCCAGGGUCCCCUGCCAUGAGUGGGUUGCUGACUACACAGGGAGGAGCCCCACAAGGGGUGCAAAAUCCCAUCCCUCCCUCACCAUGCUUGGUGCAUUUACCAAGGGCUUGAUGCUGUUGGCUUCAAUCAGAAGUCCAUCAAAAAGCCCAUGUGUUUAGAGUCACUACCCUUCUAUUAGGAUGAAAUACUAUUUGAGUACUAUGACUAAUUACACAUGAAAAUUUUUUUUACCACUGCAAACAAAGCUGGUAGAUUUUGAAACUUUGCAAAUGUAAACAGGAUGUUAGUCAAAGAAGCAAAUAAAUACAAGCUAAAUAUAUUUACAUAUUGGCUUGUUAUACCUCUGUUUCUUAGUACCUGGAUAAGCAAGGCUAUUGAAUUUCAAUUCCCAAAAGAGGCCUUUUACUCUACUUGGUUAUUCAUAUAAACUUUGUGAAAUGUAAACAUUUGCCAGCUGAUAUUUGUGUCACUCUAGUUUUCCCUCAAAAUAAGAAAAAUAAAUAUUUUUAUUUAUUUGA